GUUUGAAGGAAUACUUGAGCCGUAGAGUAGAUCAGCUCUGCAAGAAUAUCCUGAAAAUGAAGAUAAAGCCCUCAAGAAAGGUUAGACUUGGAGAUCUAUAACGCUGAACCGUGCACAGGUAGUGCAAGCGGGGAUUGAAGGUUUGUCUGUUUCUGUCACCCUUGUUUCGAGGGCAGCGCUUGGAAUGGCAUGACAAUUAGAUUAGCCUUCAAUUGGUCUCAGAUUUUUUUUCCCCCAUUGGUUCGUUUUCUGAUUUUUUCUUUGUUAGAGAGGAUAGUAAAUCAAAUUCCAUCAUAUCUUACAGAAUUGGGCAAAUGUAAGGAUAUUUUUCUGUGUAAGAAGGGUGGAAUGCUAUCUGGGUAUAAUCUCUUGUUCCUUGGAGAAUUGGGCAAAAGUAAGGAUCUUUUUCUCUGUAAGAAGGGUGGAAUGUUGUCUGGGUAUGAUCUCUUGGUCCUUAAGAGAAUUGGGCAAAAGUAAGGAUAUUUUUCUGUGUAAGAAGGGUGGAAUGCUAUCUGGCGAAUGCCAUACCUGUAGGCUUUCAAACAAGCACUAGAUCGAUUGAGGCUGCUGGCAUGGAAGUCUCUGCAACUCCAUUCGGUCGAUGUAUGAAAGAAUUGGUACAUUUGGAAAAUGGGGAUUGUGAGGAUCAGUGGGCUGCUUUUCCUGGUGACUCUAUUGGGUCUUGCGAGCUGUGGAGUAGCAAAGUCAAGUGGAGACAGUCAGCCUCUCGCAAGAAUUGAUAUUCAUAGAGCAAGAUUCUUGCUCUUGAGAAAUCUUCUUAUGUGACAGCCACACCAACUCUCCUUGGAUUGGGGGGUGAAACUAGUCAAUGGGAGACUAUAACAUUUAGCUCUCAAAAUGCAUCAAUAAUGAUUGGAUUGCAGUUUUUUCUCCAGCAAAAACUGGUUAUUGAAUCUAGCUUUCCUUAAUUAAUGUUGAUACUUGAUAGGCUCUUUUAAAUGACUAUUGUGCUGGAAAAUUCAUUUUCUGUUUCUCAUAUUUAAUAUUUUAAUGUUCCUGAAUUAAUAGAAAGUUCCUGGUACUGAAAUUUCCAGUGGUUCCACAUGUCCUUCACCAUAUGGGAAACUUGUACUUCUACUGUGUUCUGCUGCCAUUAAGGUUUCUGCUUCCCUAGCCUUGGUUUAGUCUUGUUCUUUCAGUAUGGUUCCAAUGCAAAACUACCUAUUGGUUGAAAUGUUGCUACUAUCAUCUAAUGGGCGGUUUUGGCUUUGAAGUACUGGAAGAACUUAUGGUUCUUGUGUAAAUGUAACCUUGAAUUAUUUUUGUUCUUGUGCAGUACCAAUAUGCAAAUUACUCCACUCCAAACUACAGCAAAACAGAUAAAGAAAUGUAAGACUUGGAGAUUAGGAAGCUAUAAUUUUGAACCGUGCACCAAGCGGGGAUUGAAGGUUUGUCUGUUUCUGGAUGGUGCUGACUCUGAUCACUGGUCACCCUUGGUUUCGGGGUAGGGCUUGGAAUGGCAUGACAAUUAGAUUGUCUCAGAUUUUUUUUCCCCAUUCGUUCGUUUUUUUUUUUUUUUUUUUUUCUCCCAUGGUUGAUCUGAACCAGUUUAUUUACAAAUGUAAGUCCUUUUUUUUUUCUUUUUUCUUUUUUCAAAGGUGAAGAUACAACAGGAAAUGCUAGGCAUUAUCAUCACUAAGUUACCCACAUUUCCUAUUCUAGUUUUGGAUUAUAUUCCUUUUUCUUUGAAGAGUUUCAUUUCAUUUAUUUCCUUUUUCGGUGGUGUUAGAGGUUUAUGAGACCUCUCUCUGAUUUUUUAAAUCUGGUAAAUCACAAAAAAAGGGCUAGUUUUAUUGGAAAUAAGCUUCGGGUUGACUUACAUGUGUAUUGAACCUUUUGAUCCAAGGUGUUUUUGUUUUAAUCGGCCACUUUAAUGGCCUAGAGUAAGGGAACGAGUUAGGAAUAUGGGAUUUAAUAGUUAAGUUGGACUCCUAGAAUUAUUAGGGAAUGUGAUUGGAUUUUACUUUUUGGUUUAUGCUUAAGUUUUAGAAUCUUAUUUUGUGUAGAGUGUUAAAUACAAGUCUGGUUUGCUGUUCCAACUUCCAAGUAAUAUUUUGAAUUCCAAGUUAGUUUAGGAUUGUCAGAAAUUCUGUUUAUGAAUUCCAUAUAUAGAUGUAAUGGCCUACGGCAUCACCCAUGAUUUUGUGAGUUAGGCUCCGUUUGUUUUGAUGUAAAAUAGCCGAUAAAACAAAUUUUACGGUAGAUUUUGAUUUUUCGGAUUUUCCAGCGUUUGUUUCGACAUUUCAUCGAACAACUUCUGGGCAAAAUCUUACGUUUCUGUUCAUCAGCCCAAUUAUAUGACCCUUCACAGAAUCACAACACUCUCUAAUAGGGAUUCAAGAGUAUCCUGACCCACCAUAAUAACUCCUAGUUGAGCUCUCUCUCGUCAGCUAGCAUUAAUCGAUCAGUACAUUAUUAUUGUCCCAAAGGACUUGGUCCGCCUAUAAUCAUAUCAGAAGUGGGAAACAAACCCCGAGAAGAGAGAUUGCCUCUUCAUGAUUUGAUUUUUGUGGAAUUGGAGCCAGAGACCUUUCCGGUGAGCUAUGCAAAUCUCGACCGCAUGUAGACCUCGACAACGGCUAUUAUUCCAGCUCCCUUCAGGUUCAUCCCGAUUUCUUUGGCAAAACUUCCAAUCAGGAUCUUCAGGACCAAUGCUCAACUGCAA